rnacentral:tRNA from 1 species
GCAUUGCUGGUUCAGUGGUAAAUUUUCACCUUCCAUGCGGGAGAUAUGGGUUCGAUUCCCAGCCAAUGCA